rnacentral:misc_RNA from 1 species
UCCGGUUUGACACCGGCAGUCUCACUAGAGUCCCCGACUUGACUCGCUGGCAACUAGUGAUAGGGGUUUCGCUCGUUAAGGGACUUAACCCGACACUUCACAGCACGAGCUGACGACAGCCAUGCAGCACCUGUGCACGUUCCACCCAAAGGGUGUCCAUCACUUUUCAGAUCAGUAAUCCGUGCAUGUCAAGUCCUGGAUAAGGUUCUUCGCGUUGCUUCGAAUUGAGCCACAUGCUCCACCGCUUGUGUGAGCCCCCGUCAAUUCCUUUGAGUUUUAGCCUUGCGACCGUACUCCCCAGGCGGUGCACUUAAGAAUUUCUCUGCGACCAUGAUGGCGUCAAAGCCUCCACGAUCUAGUGCACAUCGUUUACGGCGUGGACUAC